rnacentral:rRNA from 1 species
GAUGAACGCUAGCGACAGGCUUAACACAUGCAAGUCGAGGGGCAGCAUAAAAGUAGCAAUACUUUGGUGGCGACCGGCGCACGGGUGAGUAACGCGUAUGCAACCUACCUAUCAGAGGGGAAUAACCCGGCGAAAGUCGGACUAAUACCGCAUAAAACAGGGGCACCGCAUGGUGAUAUUUGUUAAAGAAAUUCGCUGAUAGAUGGGCAUGCGUUCCAUUAGUUAGGUGGUGAGGUAACGGCUCACCACGCCGACGAUGGAUAGGGGAACUGAGAGGUUGGUCCCCCACACUGGUACUGAGCCGCGGACCAGACGCCUACGGGAGGCAGCAGUGAUGAAUAUUGGUCAAUGGGCGGGAGCCUGAACCAGCCAAGUCGCGUGAAGGAAGAAGGAUCUAUGGUUCGUAAACUUCUUUUGCAGGGGAAUAAAGUGCGGGACGUGUCCUGUUUUGUAUGUACCCUGAGAAUAAGGAUCGGCUAACUCCGUGCCAGCAGCCGCAGUAACAC